rnacentral:rRNA from 1 species
AUGCCGCACCCUUUUCUGCUGCGCCGUCUCCUCACCCGGCGCCGCGUGGUCCUCGCCUGCGCCGCCGUCACCGUGCUCGCGGCGGCCGCGGCUCUGCUUCUGGCUGCUCCGACCACCGAGGUCCCCGGCCGCGCCUUGCUCGUGGCUGGCGCCCGCCUCCACCCCAGGCCCCGUGCUGCCGCGGCGGGGCGCUCCCCGGACGACGCCCCCUCGCCCUCGCUGCCGCCGCCCCCUCCCCUCAAUGCCAAGGUCCGUUUGCCAUCUAAGAUAUCACCGGCCCCUUCCAUGUUUUCGGCGCCGGUGCCUUCGCCGGCAGAGAAUUUUGAUGAUGGAUCAACAGAGGAACCCGAGCAUCCUGAUAUGAAGGAAAAUCCACUGAAGGAAUCGGCCCCUUUUCUCCAGGAGCCCAUUUCCAGUGGUCCUCCUACAAGGAGGUCUGACGUCAGCGAAGACCUUGACGAGAGUGGAAAUGCAGAACCGCCUCCAAGGCCAGAGAUGCCGCUUUGGUCAACGAAGGCAGAUGAAGAACUUAUAUAUGCAAAGAAAGAGAUUGCCGAUGCGCCAUUGGUAGUUGGUGACCCUGAUUUGUAUGCACCUCUAUUCAGGAACAUAUCUGUCUUUAGGAGGAGUUAUGAACUGAUGGAGAGGCUUCUUAAGGUUUUCAUAUAUCAUGAUGGAGCAAAACCAAUUUUUCAUUCUCCGGAGUUGAAGGGCAUCUAUGCGUCCGAGGGAUGGUUUAUGAAACUCAUGGAGGCAGAUCAGAAUUUUGUUGUCAGGGAUCCAAACAGAGCGCACCUGUUCUAUCUGCCGUAUAGCGCUCGACAGCUGGAGCAUAAUCUUUAUGUGCCUGGAUCAAAUACACUCGACCCGCUGUCUAUAUUUAUGAAGAAUUACAUAGAUAUGAUCUCUGCUAAGUUUCCGUACUGGAAUCGGACGAAAGGCGCCGAUCAUUUUUUUGUUGCUUGCCAUGACUGGGGACCUUACACGACCAAAUUACAUGACGAAUUGCGGAAAAACACCAUCAAAGCUCUCUGUAAUGCAGAUGUCUCAGAAGGGGUUUUCAUCCGUGGAAGGGACGUGUCCCUUCCAGAAACAUACCUCAAGUCUGCAAGGAGACCUGUGAGAGAUAUCGGCGGAAAGCCAGCGGCCGAGAGAUCUAUCCUGGCCUUCUUUGCAGGGCAGAUGCAUGGCCGUGUUCGGCCCGUCCUUGUCAAGUACUGGGGAGGCAAGGACGCGGACAUGCGGAUAUACACCCGGAUCCCACGCCAAAUCACUCGGCGGAUGAACUAUGCCAAGCACAUGAAGUCGAGCAAGUACUGCAUCUGUCCAAUGGGGUACGAGGUGAACAGCCCCCGGAUCGUGGAGGCGAUCUACUACGAGUGCGUCCCGGUGAUCAUCGCCGACAACUUUGUGCUCCCGUUUGACGACGCGCUUGACUGGACCGCGUUCUCCGUGGUGGUGGCAGAGAAAGAUGUACCCAGGCUGAAGGAGAUCCUGCUGGCGAUCCCGGAGAGCAGGUACAUAACCAUGCGGUCCAAUGUGAAGAAGGUGCAGAGGCACUUUCUGUGGCACACGAAGCCCGUCAAGUACGACAUCUUCCACAUGAUCCUGCACUCGGUUUGGUUCAGCCGGGUGAACCAGGUGCACCAAGUAGAGCAGUAA